UUGGUUAAAGCCAAAAAGAGGCAUAUCACUGUUAAUGAUAGAAAUGAAGUUUUCUUCUAACCAAG
rnacentral:tRNA from 2 species